rnacentral:rRNA from 1 species
GACGAACGCUGGCGGCGUGCCUAAUACAUGCAAGUAGAACGCAGUUGCGAACGGGUGAGUAACGCGUAGGUAACUGCCUCAUAGCGGGGGAUAACUAUUGGAAACGAUAGCUAAUACCGCAUACUGUGAGAUGGACCUGCGUUGUAUUAGCUAGUUGGUGAGGUAAAGGCUCACCAAGGCGACGAUAAAUAGCCGACCUGAGAGGGUGUGCGGACACAUGGGUACUGAUACACUGCCCAGAGUCUGACGGGAGGAAGCAGUAGGGAAUCUGCGGAAAUGUAGGGAAGUCGGACCGAGCAACGCGGCGGGAGGGAAGAAGGUUUUCGGAUCGAAAAGCUCUGUGGUUAGAGAAGCGGGAACUAACCAGAAAGGGACGGCUAACUACGUGCCAGCAGCCGCGGUAAUUC